rnacentral:rRNA from 1 species
GAUGAACGCUGGCGGCGUGCCUAAUACAAGCAAGUAGAACGCUGAAGGAAGGAGCUUGCUCUUUCCGGAUGAGUUGCGAACGGGUGAGUAACGCGUAGGUAACCUGCCUGGUAGCGGGGGAUAACUAUUGGAAACGAUAGCUAAUACCGCAUAACAGUAGAUGUUGCAUGAUAUCUACUUAAAAGGUGCAAUUGCACCACUACCAGAUGGACCUGCGUUGUAUUAGCUAGUUGGUGAGGUAACGGCUCACCAAGGCGACGAUACAUAGCCGACCUGAGAGGGUGAUCGGCCAAACUGGGACUGAGACACGGCCCAGACUCCUACGGGAGGCAGCAGUAGGGAAUCUUCGGCAAUGGACGGAAGUCUGACCGAGCAACGCCGCGUGAGUGAAGAAGGUUUUCGGAUCGUAAAGCUCUGUUGUAAGAGAAGAACGAGUGUGAGAGUGGAAAGUUCACACUGUGACGGUAUCUUACCAGAAAGGGACGGCUAACUACGUG